rnacentral:Y_RNA from 1 species
GACUGGUCCUAUUUCAGUGGUGUUUUAAUUGAUCACAGCCACUUAGAGAUUUCGUUGUUACUUAUCCAUUCCCGCUGCUUUACUUGGCUAGCCCUAG